rnacentral:rRNA from 1 species
AUACGUAGGUGGCGAGCGUUGUCCGGAAUUACUGGGUGUAAAGGGCGCGUAGGCGGGGACAUAAGUCAGAUGUGAAAGUCCAUGGCUCAACCAUGGGAUUGCAUCUGAAACUAUGUACCUUGAGUACUGGAGAGGGAAGCGGAAUUCCCAGUGUAGCGGUGAAAUGCGUAGAGAUUGGGAGGAACACCAGUGGCGAAGGCGGCUUUCUGGACAGUAACUGACGCUGAGGCGCGAAAGCGUGGGGAGCGAACAGGAUUAGAUACCCUGGUAGUCCACGCUGUAAACGAUGGAUACUAGGUGUAGGAGGUAUCGACCCCUUCUGUGCCGGAGUUAACACAAUAAGUAUCCCACCUGGGGAGUACGGCCGCAAGGUUGAA